UGCAGUCGAGCGAAUGGAUUGAGAGCUUGCUCUCAAGAAGUUAGCGGCGGACGGGUGAGUAACACGUGGGUAACCUGCCCAUAAGACUGGGAUAACUCCGGGAAACCGGGGCUAAUACCGGAUAACAUUUUGAACUGCAUGGUUCGAAAUUGAAAGGCGGCUUCGGCUGUCACUUAUGGAUGGACCCGCGUCGCAUUAGCUAGUUGGUGAGGUAACGGCUCACCAAGGCAACGAUGCGUAGCCGACCUGAGAGGGUGAUCGGCCACACUGGGACUGAGACACGGCCCAGACUCCUACGGGAGGCAGCAGUAGGGAAUCUUCCGCAAUGGACGAAAGUCUGACGGAGCAACGCCGCGUGAGUGAUGAAGGCUUUCGGGUCGUAAAACUCUGUUGUUAGGGAAGAACAAGUGCUAGUUGAAUAAGCUGGCACCUUGACGGUACCUAACCAGAAAGCCACGGCUAACUACGUGCCAGCAGCCGCGGUAAUACGUAGGUGGCAAGCGUUAUCCGGAAUUAUUGGGCGUAAAGCGCGCGCAGGUGGUUUCUUAAGUCUGAUGUGAA
rnacentral:rRNA from 1 species